rnacentral:rRNA from 1 species
UCGAGGAUCUUCGGCAAUGGGCGAAAGCCUGACCGAGCGACGCCGCGUGCGGGAUGAAGGCCCUCGGGCUGUAAACCGCUGUCAGUGGGGAGGAAGGCUCUGUGAAGAGCAGGGUUUGACCUAUCCGCAGAGGAAGUCCGGGCUAAGUUCGUGCCAGCAGCCGCGGUAACACGAACCGGACAAACGUUAUUCGGAAUCACUGGGCUUAAAGGGUGCGUAGGCGGCCUGACAAGUUGGGUGUGAAAUCCCUCGGCUCAACCGAGGAAGUGCGCUAAAAUGUGUUGGGCUCGAGGGAGUUAGAGGUGAGGGGAACUUAGGGUGGAGCGGUGAAAUGCGUUGAUAUCCUAAGGAACACCAGUGGCGAAAGCGGCUUACUGGAGCUCUUCUGACGCUGGGGCACGAGAGCUGGGGGAG